UACGUAGGUGGCAAGCGUUGUCCGGAUUUACUGGGCGUAAAGAGCGCGCAGGCGGUCAUUCAAGUCGAGUGUGAAAGCCCCCGGCUCAACUGGGGAGGGUCACUCGAUACUGUUUGACUCGAAGGCGGGAGAGGGAAGUGGAAUUCCCGGUGUAGUGGUGAAAUGCGUAGAUAUCGUAAGGAAGACCGGUGGCGAAGGCGACUUCCUGGCCUGUUCUUGACGCUGAGGCGCGAAAGCUAGGGGAGCAAACGGG
rnacentral:rRNA from 1 species